rnacentral:tRNA from 1 species
ACCGCCGUAGCUCAGCGGAUCCAGAGCGCCUGAUUUCGGCUCAGGGGGUUGGGGGUUCGAAUCCCUCCGGCGGUG